UCCUCCACCCGGCACCGCGAGGUGCUUGGAGAGGAAGCUUGCUGGUCCUUUGGGCCAUUUCCCCAGAGGAUCUGUGCGCUUUCUGUUCCAUGUUGCACUUCAAGACCAAGUUCAGAAGCGUGUGCAUCGGAAGUGACCGUGGACAGUGCGUGGACUAGCGCCCAGGCCAGGGAGGGAACGGCAUGGAAUGGAGAAUGCCUGGGACCGUCCUCCUGGCCUCCCCAGCUGUCCCCUGCACCCCUCUGCAGGCACCCAGCCCUGGCUGGCCAGAAAGGAGGAAACUCCCCGCCGUUUCCUUUUCUCACCAUGAAGGAGGUGACAGGUAUUUGUUCCUGAAACUCAUGUGUGAGCUGGUUUUACACAGGAGUGAGACUCUGCCCAGAGAGACCAGAGGACGGCCGGGAGCCCUGCCCAGGCUGCGGGAGGGUGCGUCUGUGGCCUGCAGACGGGGAGCAACGUCUGCUGGACACGGGGCUUCGGAGCCCCAGUGAGUCGCAUCUGCAGGGGGCUGCGUAGUCGGCUCUGUCCCUCCGUGGGUCCUCGGGGCCUGGUGUCCCUGUUUCUAAGGGAAGGGUGGAAAGACGAUGCCCGAGUCCCCGCAGUGCACACCACCGCGGCCCACCUGUGCCCAGCGUCACUUUCUUGUUCCCAUUUUUUGUCCCAACCUCAGACGAGGGUCAACAAGACCGUCCAGCUGUGCUUGGGCCCCUGGGGAAAUGGAGGCAAAGCCCACAGAAGCACAGGUGUGUCCCGUGGGCAGCUGGCCGCAGAGCAGCAUCCAGGCUGCGGGGACCAGGGGGCGCGGCUAAAGCCUGGGCACCAAGGGGCACUGUUUAAAAAGAAUCCAUGCUCGUAGUUGCUGUUUUGAGGCUUUUCACCCAAAGUGCUUCACAAGCUCAUGGAACAGCAGCGUGCGAACACACCUAAUGCACACCCAUGCGUGCACGCACACACACACACACGCACACACGUGCACACACGCACACACACGCGUGCAUGCCUCUGAGACUGCGGGGCGGUCGGCAGUCGCGUGCCCGGCAAGCUCCCCUCUCCCUGGGUGGCAGAGCCCCUCCGUGGGGGAGACAGAGGAGCCAGCUCGUCCAGCGCUGCCUUCAGCUCCGGUUCCUGCUGCCUACUGAGAAGUCGCCGCUUCCUGGAGGGGGACGGCCAUUUCCAGCCGUGUGCUUCCAACGGGAGGCAGGAUCAACUGAGGGAGGAGAAUCUCGUGGGUCAGCGAGAGCCAUGGGCAGCCGGGGGAGAGAGUGGUCUGCAGUCAAGUUCAGGCUCUGUCCCUCGCCACCACACCUGUGAACCUCCUGAUCCCUCGGCAAAAAACCACCCGAAUCAAGGAGCCACGGCCCGGAGCCAGAGGGGCAGACGCGGAGCUGCCUGGCUUCUCCAGGUAGUGGACCUGCACCUGCCGCCCUGUGCUGGCGCCACCACGGACCCUGGACCGAGGGGCCUUCCGUAGAAUCCAGGUGAGCAGACGGAGGUGUUUCUAGGACAGUGUUUUUCAGGACCCAUUUGGGGACAGGGCUGUGACAGUGGAGUUGGAGCCUGUGCCAUGCUGCUUGUCUAAACAAAGAAGUCUGACCUUGGAGCUCCGCUGAGAAAGGACAGGCUAUGCAAAGCACCCAUCUCCACCCUGUUAAAAAUGUCUGGGUGCUAGGCCAGGCUUCCUUGCUGGGCAGAGUGAGGACCUGGUCCCUGUGGGGCAGCCUGGCCACUAUUUGCAUAAACUGCUUCAGGCAUCUAAGAAGAGUGUUAGCAGUGAGUGGCCCUAAAGGUAGCUUUUCUUGGCUAGAUGCAGACUUGGCACUGACUCUGUGACCUCAUGCAAGUCUCUCAACCUCUCUGAUUCACAGUUUCUAAGUCUCUCAGCUAAGGAGCUGGGCUUGGGAAUGAAGGCCACCUUCAGGGCCUGUGGGCUGCACUCUGGGCCCGACAAACCUGCUCUGCGUGUUAUUCCAAUUCCGUGCUCGCGGCCUCUGAGCUCUGUGUGGGCAUCAGGCCCACUUUACAGAUGAGAAGGUGAGGCUCAGGGGAUUCCUUGUGCCUCAGCCCACAGCUGGGCUACUGCAGAACCAGCCUUCGUUCCCUGCAGCUUUGACCCCCUUCUCUCACGUACGAUGACCACUUGUGCAGCCGCCCCCUGGCUCCCCAACGCCCAGCUGCCGUAUCACUGCAGGGCUGCCCUCGCGUGCCAGCGUUACGGGGGCAGGGUGGGUGUGCACGGUGCUCACAGGCACCCGACAGGCGGUGACACCCGGAACCCACCAGCAGGAGCACUCAGGACGUGAAGGUCACCCGCCCGAGAGCUGCUCGGCCCUGUGGCCCCCACGGCUCUUCCUCGCGGUGCCCGCUGGCCCUGGCAGGCACUGAUCUGCGGUCACUGUUCGUUAGUGACCUCUAGAACCGUGCACAAGUGGAAUGUCACAGUUUGUACUUUGAAAACUCUCUAUUUUUUGCCCGGUGGGGGAGCGCGGCCCCUCGCGGAGCACAGAGGUUUCAAGAUGCACCUGUGAUGUAGCUUGUGUGUGAGCUUUGUCCCUGUGACACGAAUACCUGACCAGAAUAACUUGGAGGAGGGACAGUUUACUUGGGGCUCACGGUUCACAUCAUGGCCAAGGGGCGUGGGGAGGAGUGGGCCCCAACUGUGGCAGGAGGAAGAAGAGGGAAGGGGCCAAAGGGCAGCUGUGUCCCUCCAGGGACCACCUCCUGGCCACGCCCGCCUGCUGACAGUGACCACCAGACAGUCCCGUCACACUGGUGGGCCGACCAGGUCCCAGCCCGGCCAUUUCCCCUCCUAACACCCUGCAUGGACGCAGGAGCGUGCUGCGGCCGGAGCCGUCUGCCCACUUUCCGAGGUUGGAGCGUGACCUCCCGGGGAGCGGUCAGGGCUGGGGAUGGUGCUGAGUUGGGGCAGUACACAGCAGGGGCCAUCAGUCAGGGAUGGCAUCAGUGUCAGUGAAGGCCUCGAGGGGCUACAGGUGGGGAGUCGGUGCCUCGGGACACCUUCUGGCCUGCGGGGACCCAGCAAGAGGCCGGCUCUGAGGCAGAGCCAGGCUCCUGGACAGGGCUGCUGCCCAGUUCUCCCCACAGUGCUGGGGAGUGGGCUGAGGUCAGCUGAAGGCAUUUGUCACAGCAGCAGGAAGGACGAAGACGGCAGUGGUCAGCUGCUCUGGUUGGUCGCGACGUGGUGCUGGACCCGCAGGGUGGGCUCAUCAGCCCGUUCCUGUUGCCUCCAGCUCCAGGCCAUCAGGAGUCAAGUCACGGGACACCGGGGGGAAGCCUUUGCACAGCACCACCGCUGCGGUGGGGUCACCUGUCCUUUGUCCCGGCCCUGGCCCCCUGAAGGGUCGCGCUGUCCUCCUAGAGCUUGUGAAUAUGGCAUUCUGCAGGUGACCUGGGUUAUGGACCUGAGGGCAGGCAUCGUCCUGGGUACCUGGCUGUGCCCCGUCUGGUCACACGAGCUGGAGGGAGACGCCGCGGGAGGCAGCCGGGUGUCCCUGUGUCCUCAUCACCCCUCAUCACCCCAUGCGCUCAGUCUUCUUUGGAAUUCUAAUUCUCACGGAUGGUUAGUUCUCAGUGUUCGAAGUCCUCGCUGGGCACGGGGUGCUCCCCGCGUCCCCACAGGCUGACGGGAUCCUCAUCCCUCCUCUUUGGUGACGUUCGAUCCUUUCGUCCCCUUAUUGUUGAGCCGAGUUCACAGCUGCCACCUGCCCGGCCUUUUCUAUUUGCCUCAAUUGUCCUUUGCCGUCUGCCUUCUGCGAGGGGACGAGGGGACGAGGGGACGAGGGGACGAGGGACGCCAGCACAGCACGCUCCCCGUUGUUGGCCACCCAGGGUCCCUCCUCCCGGGACUUGCUGGUUCUCUCACCGCCUGCCCUGGAGUGGCUGCCCCUGCUUCAGGUGUGACACCCUCCAGGACGGACACUGGGUCUCCUGGAGCCUCGCGUUGUCCCUGAGUCCCAGGACUUCCGUCCCGCGCCGGCCGUGGUCCGCUGGGUGUGCCCGGAGCUCCGCCACGGCCUCCUGCUCGGCGUCUGCUGAGCUCCUCAGAUCUCGGGUGAGGUUCUCCCUGGUCCCGUUUGGACACUCCCAGAUAUUUCUUCAGGUUUUCCCGUCCCCCACCCCACAGGACUUCGAUGGCAGAACUUCAAGCCGCGGCCUCGGCAGCACAGCGGCGCCUGCUCAGGGUUUCCGCCCCUGACCCCUGCGUUUCGUCGUGGUGGCGUCUCUUGCGUCUUCAGGCUCACCCGCAUUUCACCUGCCUUCCCAAGAGGGUGACUGGGCUUGUGUCCUGAGUAAGGACAGGGCUCGGUCAAGGGCCUGCUCCCUGCUCUUCAUUGAGCCCCGCCGUGUACUGCCCUAUGCAAAGUGGCCCAGCUGUGUCCAUGACUCCAGGGGGUCCCUGUGGAGCAAACUCUGCAUCACAUGCAGCUGGGGUCAUUGGAACUGGAGGGUACAGACCUCUGCAGGGGUCUGAACCCUUUGCCUUAUGUAAAUGAACUGUGGCUGGUGCUCGGUCUCCUCAUGGCAACCGAGCCCCCAACCCUCCUCACAACCUGUUCUGGGUGAUUAUUGUACUCAUUUUGCAGAUGGGGAAACUGAGGCACAGAGAGGUUGAGUCACCUGGUCACGGGCACUCAGUGAGAAGCACCAGAGCCUAGAUUUGAACCUGGUGGUCUAAAUCUGGAGCCCCAGUUCUCGUGCACCCCAUUGUUUGGCUCUGGAACCCCCUUUACACAAGGGGACAUGAGCACAGAUAGGGACAGUCACCACCCAAGGUGACAGGGCAAGCGGUGGUGGAGGGGCACUGGCUGUAGCAGCAGCCUCUGGCCGUGCCUGGGAGGGGCCGGCCUGGGUGUCUGGGGCUCACCUCGCUGGCCGGGGACUUCCUGAGGACAGAGACGCAGGGCUGCGGUGCCCAGCUGGUGUGGGACAUGCAGUGGGAUCCCUCAUGGUGGCCGUCAGGGGCCUUGGCCUCACCAUUCACCCAGCAAGGUAGGCUCCCGAGUCUGGGGGCUCGUCUGUCACGGGGGCCACACCACGCCCUCCAGGACCAGCGUGGUCACACAGGUGGAGAGCAGCACAUCAAAACCAGGAGCCCAGCCGCAAGGUUGCUGUGGGUCCAGGAAACUCCACCCAGGCCGCAGAGCUGAGCUGGGUGGCAGGAGGGCUGCGGAGGGCCGCUGGUGCCGCCGGGGCCUGUGCCAAGCACCACACGCACAGCGCCCUUUCCCGGGGGCUCUGGCUGCUGCCAUGGGACCCUGCAGUGCCCAGAGUGCCCCAGAGUGCCCAUGAUGUCCCAGAGUGCCCCACAGUGCCCACAGUGCCCAGAGUGCUCCAGAGUGUCCAUGAUGUCCCAGAGUGCCCACAGUGCCUACAGUGCCCCAGAGUGCCCAUGAUGUCCCAGAGUGCCCCAGAGUGUCCAUGAUGUCCCAGAGUGUCCCAGAGUGCCCACAGCGCCCAGAGUGCCCAUGAUGUCCCAGAGUGUCCCAGAGUGCCCACAGUGCCUACAGUGCCCCAGAGUGCCCAUGAUGUCCCAGAGUGCCCACAGCGCCCAGAGUGCCCAUGAUGUCCCAGAGUGUCCCAGAGUGCCCCACAGUGCCCAGAGUGCCCAGAGUGCCCCAGAGUGUCCAUGAUGUCCCAGAGUGCCCAGAGUGCCCACUGUGCCUACUGUGCCCAGAGUGCCCCAGAGUGUCCAUGAUGUCCCCGAGUGUCCCAGAGUGCCCUCAGUGCUCAGAGUGCCCCAGAGUGCCCAUGAUGUCCCAGAGUGCCCCAGAGUGCCCACAGUGCCCCAGAGUGUCCAUGAUGUCCCAGAGUGCCCACUAUGCCCACUGUGCCCUGUGGCCGGGUUUGGCCCUGGGCCCCUGCAGAGCACCCUGGACCUGCGCUGUCCCACUACUUCUGAUGUGGCCAUGAUGCCGGGCUGCAGGGAGCUUCCCUGGCACAGUGGUGGUCCGAGCCUGGUUCUGGGCACAGGGUCACGGCUGGUGCUGCAGAGGUGCCCAGGGAAGCUGCAGCCGAGCUUGCCAGGGCCCAGGGGAGUGUGGUGACUGUGCCCAGAGCCCCCAGGAGCAGAGCCAAGCAGGGCGCACGCGGGUGUGGGAGCAGGUGUCUGUGACGUGCCCCCCCCCACAGCUCGUCUCCAUCCUGAUGCUGCACAGAGUCCCCGAGGGAAUCCUGUCACUGUCAGUGAGACCCACAGGGGGCCUGGAGGGGUGUUAUGUCAUCUCUACUGAUGACAGAAAUGACGCCGUGUGGCUUUCUCUUCCUUAAACCUGCAGAACCCAUUUCUUGUCGCCCGAGUUAUUUCUGGCUCUGGGUUCAGAG